AGGCGCGUAGCUCAGCUGGCUAGAGCACUGGUCUCCAAAACCAGGGGUCGUAGGUUCGAGUCCUACCGCGCCUGCCA
rnacentral:tRNA from 1 species